rnacentral:lncRNA from 1 species
UGACCAUUCUUCAAUUAAACCAUUUAAUUGCAUAUCCAUUUCAUUUAAUUUCUUCACUAUCGCCCUUACUUGGUGUACGAUCCAUUAGGUUCCAAUUAGCGACGUAGUGGGCGAUUGUUACUCUUAACGAUCGAUUGUGAAUUGAAACCACAUUUCAAUUCUCCCUUUAUGAUUAGUGUUUGCUAGUCAUUAGGGCUUCCACAAACCAUGAGUGAUACCUAGCAGUAUGUCAUGGUUACCCAAGCUAAGUAGAAUUGGUUGGAGAACCUAUCCAGUUACAACUACAAUGCAAUACGGUCCUUCUCUAAUACAAUACUCUUAAUCACAUUGUUUAAGUGAUAGUUUGUUUCAUGUCUACUAUCCAAUGUGAUACUUUUCUAUAUGAUUCCUUUGAAUAUGAAUUGGAACAAACUUCCUAAGUCAUAUUCAUUUGCUUUGGCCAAAGACUUACGAAUCACAUCUUAGAGUAUUCUCCUUCCACCAUGGAAGGUUAGAGAUCCCUUGUUGUGCAUUCAUAUGCCUACAUGACUAGAUAGCUGGACCCCAACAAUGUCGUGGACACUCCGAUGGAAUGCCGUUGACAUGAUCAAAGAUCAAGGACCUAACCAUUAGACAUCUAUGAUGCCUCAGGUCAAAGGACUACUUUGCAUAUUGCAACUUUCGAGUUCUUACAUGACAUGUAUGUUCGAACUCUCUUUCGAUCGUUGUUCAGUGUACUCGAUUACUCUUUCGAGCACCUAUGUGUUUGUCUUAGUGUCCAACACCAAAUGACUUGAGUCUAGUCAUACUCAAGCUUGAGUCGACAUAACACAUACUAACCUUAGCGGAUUGUCAAUACCCAAUUGGCAAUCCUAUGGCUAGGAACGUUUUAGGAAUGAACAUAAGAGAAUGGUCUCGAUAAUCUAACUCACUUAGAUCACUUAUCUCUUAGAUCAAAUACAUCCCUUAGAUUCCCUUAUUACUUAAACACAUGAUACAAUAAAUAGUGAUCAACAAUAAGCUUUGCCCUUCAUUAAACAUAUAAAAGUUUAAUACAUUAAGUAUUCCAAAAAGCUUUCCACAAUGAAAGCAUGUUCCUUUGGAUUUUCUUGCCUUCUUCUUAUGCAACCUUUUCCUUGUGAUUGCAUUCUCACUCCCACUGUCUUUUUUGAAACCUUGUUCAAACUUACAGCACAUGUCAAUCAUCUCAGUAAAAGUAUGAUUGAAUCUAUUCACUUUAUAGUUUACAAUAAACUUAGUGAAAUCAUCCGAGAGAGAUGCAAGGAAAAAGUCUUGGGCCAUUUUCCCAUCGAUGAAAGUUCCUAAACUUUCAAGAUCUUGAAAGAUCCUUUCCAUCUUUUGUCCAUGUUUAUGAACCGAUGUCCCCUUUGCCAUUUUGGCAUUCAAUAGACUACAAACAUUUGCGAAUCGUACAUUACUAGUCUCAAUGUCAUGCAUCUUAUGCAAACUUUCAACCAUGGCACAAGAAGUGUCCAUGUGCUCAUGUAGCUUCAUAAGCUCCUCACUAUGUGAAGUGAGGAUUAAGCAUUUGGCUUGUAAAUCAUCCUCAUAAUGUCUUGCAUAAUCUUGACACUCCUCCUUUGAAGCUAGUUUCGUAGGAGGUACAUGAGGAGGGGAUUGCUUAAGCACAUACAAUAUGUCUUUCACCUUUGAGACAUUCUCAAUGUGGCGAUACCAAGCAAGGAAACAUUGGCCCCUAAGGCAACCUUGAGGAUGUUGACUUUCCCCUCGGCAGCAUAUCUUCUAAUGAUAUUAAAACGCCUGUCAAAAUGCUUGUUCUUUUGAUGAGCCCUGGGUUCCUUGGCUUGAGCUAUCGCCCACUAUUGUCACAGUACAAAGUUACUGGUGAUGUAAUGGUUGGAACCACUCCAAGUUCAGUAAUGAACUUCUUCAUCCAGAACGCUUCUUUGUCAGCUUCAGCUACAGCGACAUAUUCUGCCUCCGUCGUGGAAUCAGCAAUUACAUCUUGUUUCUUGCUUUUCCAGCUAACAGCACCACCAUUCAGAGUGAAUACAUAUCCGGAGUUGGAACUUCUAUCAUCGACGUCAAAUUGGAAAUCUGCGUCUGUAUAGGCUUCCACUCGCAACUAUGUUGCUCCUCCAUAAACAAGGAACAUGUCCUUAGUUCUUCUUAAGUACUUAAGGACCGUCUUGACAGCUGCCCAGUGUUCUGAUCCUGGGUUAGAUUGAUAUCGACUAGUAAUGCUCACAGCAUAUACGAUAUCAGGCCUUGUGUAUAUCAUGGCAUACAUGAGACUUCCUAUGGCGGAAGCAUAAGGAAUAGCAUUCAUCUGCCGUAUCUCUUCAGGAGUCUUAGGUCCCAUGGACUUAGAAAGGUGAAUUCCAUGUCUCACAGGAAGAAAACCUUUCUUAGAUUGUUCCAUGUCUCACAGUAAGCAAAAUCUGAAUGGACUUAAUCAUGGCUACAGGAGAGAAGGUUUCUUCAUAGUCAAUCCCUUCUCUUUGCCUGUAACCCUUGGCUACGAGUCUAGCCUUAUAAGUCUCCAUGUUCCCUUCAGCGCCUAUCUUCCUCUUGAAGACCCAUUUGUUUCCAACAGGUACUAUACCUUCUGGAGGGUCUACAAGAGUCCAGACCUGAUUUUGAUACAUGGAAUCCAUCUCGGAUUUCAUGGCCUCUUGCCAUCUCUUUGAAUCAAUGUCAGACAUUGCUUCAGUAUAGUCUCUAGGGUCCUCCUUUGUGUCAUUGUCACCUAGAAGGUGCAGUUCCCCAAAGUCAUUAUCUAAGCCAUACCUCUUAGGUGGCUUGCUAACCCUUUCAGAUCUACGUGGAGCUAGGGGUUCAGAAACAGGGUUGUCAAGUUGUCGAGUACUUGUUUGUGGUUCAUCAUUAAUCUCAUUAAUUUCCAUCGUUUUACUUAUAGUUCUUUUGAGAACAAAUUCGUCCUCUAGAAACUUAGCAGUUCUGGCGACAAAAACGUUUUGGUCGUCAGGAUGGUAGAACUCAUAUCCCAUAGUUUCUCUAGGAUAUCCCACAAAAUAACACCUAACUGAUCUCGCUUCAAGCUUCUUGACAUAUGCUUCACAACCCCAAAUCUUAACGUGAUUGGCUUUCUUCCAUGCCAUAUCUCAUAGGGCGUCUGUGAAACUGACUUGGAAGGUACUCUAUUAAGCAAGUAAGCUGCUGUAUAUAGAGCGUAUCCCCAGAAUGUUACUGGUAGAUCGGCGGAAGUCAUCAUAGAACGAACCAUGUUCAUCAAGGUUCGAUUUCUCCUUUCAGAAACUCCAUUAAGUUGUGGAGUUCCCGGUGGAGUCCACUGUGAUAUUAUUCCACACUCUUUGAGAUAAUCUAAGAACUCGGUGCUUAGAUACUCUCCCCCUCGAUCUGAUCUUAGGAUCUUUAUCUAUUUCCCAGUUUGCUUCUCAACUUCAUUCUUGAAUUCUUUGAACCUUUCAAAGGAUUCUGACUUGUACUUCAUAAGAUACACAUAGCCAAACCGAGAGUGAUCGUCGGUGAAUGUGAUAUAGUAGGAGAAGCCUCCUCUCGACGUAGUAGACAUAGGUCCACAUACGUCAAUGUAGAUUAACCCUAGAAUUUCAGUGGCACGCUCUCCUUUUCCAUUGAAUGGAGAUUUGGUCAUCUUCCCUUUUAAGCAACAUUCACAAGUACCCAUUUGGUCAUUACCUAAUGGGCGGAAAUAUCCGUCUUUCGGCAUCUUGCGAAUCUUAUCAAGGUUCACAUGUCCAAGUUUAAGAUGCCACAUCUUUUCUCGGUUAACUUCUUCUCUAGCCCUUUUGGGUUUUGAGGUAUUCCCGCUUUCAAUACAGUGCAUCCCACUACUUGUCUCUAGGUGAAAAAGUCCCUCUAUCAUAUUACCAUGAGAGAUAAUAUGACCGUUCAAGUAUAAAGUGCAACUCAUUUUGUCAAACAAUAUUGAGUGCCCAUCUCGUAAAAGCUUAGAGAUAGAAAUCAAAUUCUUUAUACAUGAAGGAAAAUAUAAACAAUUUUUAAGUUCCAAGACUUCCCCAGAGGGCAGUUUAAGCAUGUAGGUGCCUAUUGCUUUAGCAGAGAUCUUAGUGCCAUUCCCAACUCGCACAAUCAUCUCCCCAUUGCACAAUGUUAUGCUCCCUGUUAGUCCCUGCAACGAAUUACAGAUAUGUUGACUAGCGCCUGAAUCAAAUAUCCAGGAAUUGGAGCUCAUUGUAAAAGCACUCUCUAUAACAGAAAUAGUCCCUUCAAAAGUUUGUGUCAUAAGGCUCGCAAUGCGCACCCUGUAUUUCUUCUUCCAACAUUCAUCCUUUCCACAAUGAAAGCAUGUUUCUUUGGAUUUUCUUGCCUUCUUCUUAUGCAACCUUUUCCUUGUGAUUGCAUUCUCACUCCCACUGUCUUUUUUGAAACCUUGUUCAAACUUAUAGCACAUGUCAAUCAUCUCAGUAAAAGUAUGAUUGAAUCUAUUCACUUUAUAGUUUACAAUAAACUUAGUGAAAUCAUCCGAGAAAGAUGCAAGGAAAAAGUCUUGGGCCAUUUUCCCAUCGAUGAAAGUUCCUAAACUUUCAAGAUCUUGAAAGAUCCUUUCCAUCUUUUGUCCAUGUUUAUGAACCGAUGUCCCCUUUGCCAUUUUGGCAUUCAAUAGACUACAAACAUUUGAGAAUCGUACAUUACUAGUCUCAAUGUCAUGCAUCUUAUGCAAACUUUCAACCAUGGCACAAGAAGUGUCCAUGUGCUCAUGUAGCUUCAUAAGCUCCUCACUAUGUGAAGUGAGGAUUAAGCAUUUGGCUUGUAAAUCAUCCUCAUAAUGUCUUGCAUAAUCUUGACACUCCUCCUUUGAAGCUAGUUUCGUAGGAGGUACAUGAAGAGGGGAUUGCUUAAGCACAUACAAUAUGUCUUUCACCUUUGAGACAUUCUCAAUGUGGCGAUACCAAGCAAGGAAACAUUGGCCCCUAAGGCCCCUUUUGUCAAGUAUAAUGGUGGGUGUAAUUUUAGGCAUGUCGUUAACUACACAACAUAACAGAAAUCGUAUUAGAUUGUUAAUUUUAAAACUACUUGAUUGGGUCUUAAAUCAAAUAGAACCACCCACUAUUUUUGGCAAAUUCUACAUCCCUCAAUGGAAUUCGAGAGUUGUGUUGAACUCUUAGCGGGGUAUGGGAGACUCACCAUUACCAAGCCCACCUCACGAUGAUACGAUGUUGGUUAGCAAAAAUAAUGAUGAGAGAAUAACGUUUUAAUCAUUUACAACUCUUGUAAUUACCCAUCUUGUUUGGCCUCUAGAGAAUGAUGCCUCACAAUGAUAUGAUGUUGGCAUCAUUACACUUAGUUAAGUUAUUCCCACCAUGCUAGUUCGUGUAGGGGUUCAAGAAUAGCCUCACAAUGAUAUGAUGUCGGCCAUCCUCGUUGCCUACCUCACUACAUCAUGUAUGUAUACAUGGACUCCUCCUAAAUGUAAGCACAUACUUUGAACUUCCCCAUGAUAGGAAGCCGUUGUAGGAGUCACAAACGAUUGGAGCCCAUCAUGGUGGAAGGCCUACGAAGAGAUGUUCAAAGCAUCUCUCGCUUAUCAACUUAAUAUUCGUUUUGUUGAGGGAGUAGUGUUGGGCUACAUCAAUUUAAUUUUAAUCUUAUUAAAAGAACUUGGCCUAUCACAACCAUUGGUCCAAGUUAAUAUGAAUUAGUAGUAUAUAAUACUCCCACUAUUUCGAUGAAACAAGCGAGACUAUAUGGAACUACUAACGAAUGUUUUGCAUCCUCAUAUGGACUAUAUAGUCAUAUUAGGUCUUAGGAUGAUUAUGAACCAUUUGAUUUGAUCCAACACGAGCCUUGUGUUGGACCUUGGGUUUAAGGUAGAUAGUUGUUGAUUUUAGUUACGCGUUUAAUCUAAUUAAACCGUUAUUUCCUAUUGGGCGUUGGACCCAACUAUUCCAAUUUGCAUACAUAUAAACAAAAAGGAAUACAUGAAAUAAAGAGAAGGGCUUAUGCGCUUUUACAACACAUUUGAUGAACUUAUGUCCAUUUACAACAAAUUUGAACUAAUCAAAUUACAUUCAAAUCUAAACUACUUAACCCAAACAUUCAUAAUGUAAAGCGGCCAAUCACAUAACUCAAUUAUCGAGGCCUUUGGUUCAUAAUCACCCUUUUCUUAAUCAAUCACAUUAACUAAGAAAGCAACUUAAAUAAUUGGUUUUCGGAUUCAUAGAAUUGAUUUAAAUGGAACUAAUAGAAAUGAAAAUCCAAUUCUCAUUGAAGAGACAAAACCAUUUUGUUCUCAUCUUAUUUGGGCCCAAAAACAAUGACCUCAACAAUUGGGCCAUUAUUCAAUAAACAUAAACUUUUGGGGUCACUUUGUAAAAACACAAGAGUCCACAACUUCAUGUAAUUACAACUAGAACCCAAAAUUUUAACAAUAACAAAAAAAUCAUUAAAGGAGCAAAACAAUUUGUCCUUUAGAGUUUUUGGGCCUUAACGUAAAAACGCAAACUUUUGGGUCAAAGUGCAAAUACACAAAAGUAUCAAAACUUUAUGUAAUUGCAUGAAAGCCCCAAAAAUACCCCCACUAAGGGGUGGCCGGUUUUGGAAGUGAAAAAGGAGGAAGGGGGGGGGGGGGGGGGAAGGUUUUGGUGAAAAAUUCAAAGUUUUGUGCAAGUGGAUAGGUAGGAGAGGAAAUGUUGAUUGGGAUGGGUUGUAAGAAAAAUGUUUUGUGAAACAUUAAAGGCAUUAACCAUCCAUCACCAAUCAUCCAUCACCUUUCAAAAAUAAACCAAAACUUUAUGAAAAACACCAAACACUUUGAAUCAAAAUUCCAAACCUUUUGUUCUUGGUAAGAAACUCAAGAACAUUGAAGAACACACAUGAAAACUCAUAAGAGCUCCAUGAAUGUUUUCACACAAUAAAACUCAAAUUUUCACUACACAAAAGAGGGUUAACAUCCUAGGGUACUUAGGGGUUCCAAAAGUCACUUUAAAACUCUUUUAACAAGACAAACAAGAACCCAAAAAUCCACCCUUUGGAUUUGGCCGAAAAUCCCCAAAUACAUGGCACCAAAUUUUAAAUCCAAUAUUCAUGCUUAAAUGAACUACAUCUACAACAUUUGAGAUGCUAAAUUUUCAAGCAAAAUUUAUAUUCAAAAGCAAGAACAAAGCUUGUAACAUUUACAACAUUUAAAUCACUAACCAUGAAAAAACACAAAACCCAAAUGGAUUCACCAUAAACUAGGCCUAGGCUCUGAUACCACUUGAAGGAAAAAUUUUGUCCUAGCUAAGAACAUGUGAAAAUAUUUGAACACAUAUGCAAACUAUUAACACAUUAAAGUAGGCAUGCAUUCAAAAACAAUUCUAAAACCCAUGACUUUCAAAGCCUAGUGAAUGGUGAACCAUGAGACUCUUUAACAACAUUAAAGAGAAGGUUGGAUUUUGAGUUUCAUUACCCUUGAAGCUCAUCCUUGUUUACACAAGGGAUUCACCCAAGUGGAGGGCCUUCAAGUCACCUCCUAGCUCCUUGGAUCUUCCUUGUGAUUUUCUUCCUUUUGAUGCUCCUUUGCUCCUUGGGGAUGUGAGGAAAGGAUCUCCAAAACACCAAAGGUUUGGUGUCUCUAAGUCUCCACACAAAGGAUGAGGUGUGAAGAUGAAAUGGAUGACUUAGAGAAGAAAAGAUUGCUAGCUAUUUCUUCCCUAUGUGGCCGGCCUCCUUGUAGAGAAAAAGAGAGAAAGUGUUUCACCCCUUUGCCUCAAGAAAACCCUAAUGAGAAAAUAGCUAUAAAGUUGACUUUAUACUACAUCACAUUUGAGUGGCAAACUUGUAAUUAAUUCAAGUUUGCAUCCACUCACCCUUAUGGCCGGCCUUGUCUUUGUUAUUGGGCUAAUUGCCCAUUUUGUUUUAGUUGUCAUACAACUUAAACAUAAUGGGCCUCGUGGACCAAAACACUUUUGGGCCCCGAAACCCAAAACCAACUUAAAAGCCCAAUACGAACCUUUCGUAUAAUUAAUUAACUAAUUAAUUAAUCUUGACCAUUCUCAAUUAAACCAUUUAAUCGCUUAUCCAUCUCAUUUAUAUUUCUUCACUUUCACCCUUACUCGGUGUACAAUCCAUUAGGUUCCAAUUAGCGACGUAGUGGGCGAUUGUUACUCUUAACGAUCGAUUGUGAAUUGAAACAACAUUUCAAUUCUCCCUUUGUUGAAGAUUAGUGUUUGCUAAUCUUCAGGGCUUCCACAAACCAUGAGUGACACCUAGCAGCAUGUCAUGGUUACCCAAGCUAAGUAGAAGUGGUUGUAGAACCUAUCCAGUUACAACUACAACGCAAUACGGUCCUUCUCUAAUACAAUACUCUUAAUCACAUUGUUAGAGUGAUAGUUUGUUUCAUGUCUACCAUCCAAUGUGAUACUUCUCUAUAUGAUUCGAUUGAAUAUGAUUUGGAACAAACUUCGUAAGUCAUAUUCAUAUGCUUUGGCCAAAGACUCUCGAAUCAUAUCUUAGAGUAUUCUCCUUCUACCAUGGAAGGUUAGAGAUCCCUUGUUGUGCAUUCAUAUGCCUACAUGACUAGAUAGCUUGACCCCAACAAUGUCGUGGACACUCUCAAUGGAAUGCCUUUGACAUGAUCAAAGAUCAAGGACCUAACCAUUAGACAUCUAUGAUGCCUCAGGUCAAAGGACUACUUUGCAUAUUACAACUAUCGAGUUCUUACAUGACAUGUAUGUUCGAACUCUCUUUUGAUCGUUGUUCAGUGUACUCGAUUACUCUUUCGAGCACCUAUGUGUUUGUCUUAGUGUCCAACACUAAAUGACUUGAGACUAGUCAUACUCACGCUGGAGUUGACAUAACACAUACUAACCUUAGCGGAUUGUCAAUGCCAAAUUGGCAAUCCUAUGGCU